rnacentral:rRNA from 1 species
ACAGAGGUGGCAAGCGUUGUUCGGAUUUAUUGGGCGUAAAGGGUCCGUAGGCGGUUUGGAAAGUCGGAUGUGAAAUCCCACAGCUUAACUGUGGAACUGCAUUCGAAACUUCCAGACUGGAGUGUGAGAGGGGUAAAGGGAAUUCCCGGUGUAAGGGUGAAAUCUGCAGAGAUCGGGAAGAACACCAGUCGCGAAGGCGCUUUACUGGCUCACAACUGACGCUGAGGGACGAAAGCUAGGGGAGCAAACGGGA